rnacentral:rRNA from 1 species
GACGAACGCUGGCGGCGUGCUUAACACAUGCGAGUCGAACGGAAAGGCCCUUCGGGGUCCUCGAGUGGCGAACGGGUGAGUAACACGUGGGUGAUCUGCCCUGCACUUUGGGAUAAGCCUGGGAAACUGGGUCUAAUACCGAAUAGGACCACGCGCUUCAUGGUGUGUGGUGGAAAGCUUUUGCGGUGUGGGAUGGGCCCGCGGCCUAUCAGCUUGUUGGUGGGGUAAUGGCCUACCAAGGCGACGACGGGUAGCCGGCCUGAGAGGGUGACCGGCCACACUGGGACUGAGAUACGGCCCAGACUCCUACGGGGGGCAGCAGUGGGGAAUAUUGCACAAUGGGCGCAAGCCUGAUGCAGCGACGCCGCGUGAGGGAUGACGGCCUUCGGGUUGUAAACCUCUUUCAAUAGGGACGAAGCGCGAGUGACGGUACCUAGAGAAGAAGCACCGGCCAACUACGUG